rnacentral:tRNA from 6 species
GCCCGGAUGGUGAAAUUGGUAGACACAAGGGACUUAAAAUCCCUCGGCGCAAGCCAUACCGGUUCGAUUCCGGUUCCGGGCACCA